AACGAACGCUGGCGGCGUACCUAACACAUGCAAGUCGUACGAGAAAUUCCGAUUCGUCGGGAGAGUAAAGUGGCGAACGGGUGAGUAACACUAGGGUAAUCUUCCCUUAAAUAAGGGAUAACGUUGCGAAAGCGACGCUAAUACCUUAUAAGACUACGAUCUCUUAGGAGGUAGUAGGAAAAGAUGGCCUCUGUUUCAAGCUAUCGUUUAAGGAUGAGCCCUAGCACUAUUAGCUAGUUGGUGAGGUAACGGCUCACCAAGGCGACGAUGGUUAGCUGGUCUGAGAGGAUGGCCAGCCACACUGGAACUGAGACACGGUCCAGACUCCUACGGGAGGCAGCAGUGAGGAAUAUUGCGCAAUGGGGGCAACCCUGACGCAGUGACGCCGCGUGAGUGAUGAAGGCUUUCGAGUCGUAAAGCUCUGUUAGGUGGAAAGAACAUCCCGGCGCUAAUAUCGUCGGGACUUGACGGUACCACCAGAGGAAGCACCGGCUAACUCCGUGCC
rnacentral:rRNA from 1 species